rnacentral:rRNA from 1 species
UACAGAGGUCCCGAGCGUUUGUUCGGAUUCAUUGGGCGUAAAGGGUGCGUAGGCGGCGGGGUAAGUUUGAUGUGAAAUCCCGGGGCUCAACCCUGGAAUUGCAUUGAAUACUACCUUGCUAGAGUACCGGAGAGGAAACUGGAAUUUACGGUGUAGCAGUGAAAUGCGUAGAGAUCGUAAGGAAGACCAGUGGCGAAGGCGAGUUUCUGGACGGUAACUGACGCUGAGGCACGAAGGCCAGGGGGAGCAAACGGGG